AUUGAACGCUGGCGGCAUGCUUUACACAUGCAAGUCGGACGAGUGGCGAACGGGUGAGUAAUAUAUCGGAACGUACCGAGUAAUGGGGGAUAACUAAUCGAAAGAUUAGCUAAUACCGCAUAUUAUUCGAGCGGCCGAUAUCUGAUUAGCUAGUUGGUGGGGUAACGGCCUACCAAGGCGACGAUCAGUAGCGGGUCUGAGAGGAUGAUACGCCACACUGGGACUGCGACACGGCCCAGACUCCUACGGGAGGCAGCAGUGGGGAAUUUUGGACAAUGGGCGCAAGCCGGAUCCAGCCAUGCCGCGUGUCUGAAGAAGGCCUUCGGGUUGUAAAGGACUUUUGUCAGGGAAGCGGUACCUGAAGAAUAAGCACCGGCUAACUCCGUGCCAGCAGCCGCGGUAAUUC
rnacentral:rRNA from 1 species